rnacentral:rRNA from 1 species
GCUUUAUAUUGUUAUUUACUCUGUUUAUGUGGGGGUAAUUAAGCGGAAUUAAUGAGAGUAUUUUGUUGGGGUGACAGGAAGAUAAAAAAAACUCUUUUUAGAAUUUAAAUCAUUGAUGUAUGAAUUAUUGAUCCGUUAUUAAUGAUUAUAAGACUAAGU